UACGUAGGUGGCAAGCGUUGUCCGGAUUUACUGGGCGUAAAGGGCGUGCAGGCGGUCUGUUAAGUGCAGGGUGAAAGCUCCCGGCUCAACUGGGAGAGGUCCUUGCAUACUGGCGGACUUGAGGGGGGUAGAGGAAAGUGGAAUUCCCGGUGUAGUGGUGAUAUGCGUAGAUAUCGGGAGGAACACCUGUGGCGAAGGCGGCUUCUUGGGCCUGGACUGACGCUGAGGCGCGAAAGCUGGGGGAGCGAACGGG
rnacentral:rRNA from 1 species